UACGGAGGGUGCAAGCGUUGCUCGGAAUCAUUGGGCGUAAAGCGUACGCAGGCUGUUCGUCAAGUCGGGUGUGAAAUCCCGGGGCUCAACCCCGGAACGGCGCCCGAAACUGUCGAGCCUGAGUGCGGGAGAGGGAAGCGGAAUUCCUGGUGUAGAGGUGAAAUUCGUAGAUAUCAGGAGGAACACCGGUGGCGAAAGCGGCUUCCUGGCCCGACACUGACGCUCAUGUACGAAAGCGUGGGGAGCAAACAGG
rnacentral:rRNA from 1 species